AGCUUUGCGCAGUGGCGAAAUCGUAACCAACGAGGUACAACCGAGGUGCGAUUAUUGCUAGUUGAAAACUAAUAGCAUGUUAGCCAGGAUGUGUUUGUUACAUCAGUGAAUGCAGCUUACCGGAACAUCAAGACAAGGAAGAAGAGGAAAAUUUUAUAUUGGCAACAAUGUUGAGUGUUAGAAAAUUUCGGAAACUUUUCUAACUAA
rnacentral:snRNA from 12 species